rnacentral:lncRNA from 1 species
GCUGACCACCGCUAACCACUGAUCUCCACUAACCACUGUUCUCCGGUAACCGCUGACCCCCGCUAACCGCUGAUCCCCGCUAACCACUGACCUCCGCAGACCGCUGACCACCGCUAACCACUGACCUCCGCUGACCGCUGACCACCGCUAACCGCUGACCACCGCUAACCGCUGACCUCCGCUAACCGCUGACCCCCGCUAACCACUGACCUCCGCUGACCGCUAACCACUGACACCUGCUAACCGCUGACCACCGCUAACCACUGACCUCCGCUGACCGCCGACCACCGCUAACCACUGACCCCUGCUAACCACUGACCUCCGCUGACCGCUAACCACUGACACCUGCUAACCGCUGACCACCGCUAACCACUGACCUCCGCUGACCGCUGACCCCCGCUAACCGCUGACCACCACUAACCGCAUGGGAUGGUCCAAAACCUUCUGACCACAGCUGGUACUGGUCCAACUGGUACUGGUCCAAAUGGUACUGGUCCAAAUGGUCAGAUACUGGUCCAACUGGUACUGGUCCAACAGGUACUGGUCCAAAUGGUACUGGUCCAACUACUACUGGUCCAAAUGGUCAGAUACUGGUCCAACUGGUACUGGUCCAACUGGUACUGGUCCAUACAGAACAGAGUCCUUCAGGGAGGAUCCACAGUCCUCCUCUUGUUGUCUGGUCCACAGGCUGCUAACCGCUACUAGACGGAACGCACUGGAUGGAUCUACAUGGAGUAGACCAUGGUCCAACAGUGGAAGGGCUGAUGGAGUAAACCAUGGUCAAACAGUGGAAGGGCUGAGAGAUGGAGUAGAAGGUGGAAGGGAAGGGCUGAGAGAUGGAGUAAACCAUGGUCAAACAGUGGAAGGGCUGAGAGAUGGAGUAAACCAUGGUCAAACAGUGGAAGGGCUGAUGGAGUAAACCAUGGUCAAACAGUGGAAGGGCUGAUGGAGUAAACCAUGGUCCAACAGUGGAAGGGCUGAUGGAGUAAACCAUGGUCCAACAGUGGAAGGGCUGAUGGAGUAAACCAUGGUCAAACAGUGGAAGGGCUGAUGGAGUAGACCAUGGUCAAACAGUGGAAGGGCUGAGAGAUGGAGUAGAAGGUGGAAGGGAAGGGCUGAGAGAUGGAAUAAACCAUGGUCAAACAGUGGAAGGGCUGAUGGAGUAGACCAUGGUCAAACAGUGGAGUGGCUGAUGGAGUAGACCAUGGUCAAACAGUGGAAGGGCUGAGAGAUGGAGUAAACCAUGGUCAAACAGUGGAAGGACUGAUGGAAUAAACCAUGGUCAAACAGUGGAAGGGCUCAGAGAGGAACAAUACAUUCCUGUGGGACGAUUCUGUCACCUUCAGGUUAAACUGUACUGUAUGUUUCAUCUAGUCUGAAGUUUGGACACUGGGUGGUUCUACACUGAGUGGACAAAACAUUAGGAACACUUCCCUAACACCCUCAGAACAGCCUCACUUCGUCGGGGGCGUGGACUCUACAAGGUGUUGAAAGCUUUCCAACAAGGAUGUUGGUCCAUGUUGACUCCAAUGCUUCCUACAGUUGUGUCAAGUUGGCUGUCCUUCGGUUGGUGGAACAUUCUUCAUACACACGGGAAACUAUUGAGCGUGAAAAAUCCAGCAGCGUUGCAGUUCUUGACACAAAACGGUGCACCUGGCACCUACUACCAUACCCCGUUUUAUUCAGUGUAUAACAGAGGUAACAUUACAUUAACACUACUGUAAUUCUGUAACUACUGUAAUUACUAUUACAUUUACACUACUGUAAUUCUGUAACUACUGUAAUUACUAUUACAUUUACACUACUGUAAUUCUGUAACUACUGUAAUUACUAUUACAUUAACACUAUUGUAAUUCUGUAACUACUGUAAUUACUAUUACAUUAACACUACUGUAAUUCUGUAACUACUGUAAUUACCAUUACAUUAAAAGUACUGUAAUUCUGUAACUACUGUAAUUACUAUUACAUUAACACUACUGUAAUUCUGUAACUACUGUAAUUACCAUUACAUUUACACUACUGUAAUUCUGUAACUACUGUAAUUAUUAUUACAUUA